AAGCCAUAUGAUUUUAUUUUCAAAAAAUUUUUUUUUAUCAAAAUAUUGAUCACCAGUACGAACUUAGAAUGAACACCAAGAUAUCACUACAAUCUGGUUUAUCAAAUUUUAAAACAUUUUAAAUUUUACAAUAAAUUUUAAAGUUUUAAGUCAGAUUUAAUAUUUGGCAGCGCUGCCUGAUCGGGAACAAAGAAACGUUUUUUCUACGGACCAUUUUGUUUUGCACUUUUCAGAACAGAAGAACGAAACGCGGGGACAAAAACUGAACGUUCAUCCACGAAAAUCUCAAUAAUACGAGAUAAUACUCUCUUGAACAGCCAUAGGACGCUGAAAUGUUUGCUUCAAAAGGCACUGAAAUCCGUGCCAUUAGAUCCUGCAUCGCCCAAAUAUUGGCUGAACCUCUGGAUCCCGGGGAAAACAACGCACUUUUCGAGGCAGCGGAAGUGGGAAUUGACUGCAAAGAGACAUAGUCCUUGCUUAGUGGAUUUCGGUAUGUGCAAAGUGAAGUCAGUUCACCGACAAUUUGCUCAUAAUUGACGACAAAUCCUUCAAAGUUUUAAUGCGAAGGUGAGAAAUGUACCAAAUUGAAAAAAGACUUAUCGAAACUUUUCGGGUUCCGAAGAAUCGGGUAGCGAUAAAAAAAACUGGUGCCAAAUCCUUGGAACUCACCACAAGAUCCGGAAGUGCGUCGUGGUGAUUGCAUGAACGACCUGAAUCAGCUGAAAGAAGAGGCCAACAUGGUUCUGCAAACUUAUGGCCUGGCCCGCCGAUCAAUUUCUAAUUUAACUUGAGUGUUUAAGUGUAAAAACGAAAUUUUUUUUUUUUUUUUAAGAAGUAUUUAUGAAAGUGUGGAUGAUGAUAAAUAACUUAGAAAAAAUUAUUAUGUAUUUGGAAAUUGAAUACA